ensembl:lncRNA
UGAGGAAGGUGGGACAGCUGGCCAGAGCACAAAGGUUAAGGGUAAACAUUUUGACGACAUCACUCGGAUAUUGUAAGGUGGCUGAGCCAAGCACAAAGGUCCAUGCAUAGACGACACUGAGGAAAAGCAGGCUGGCAAGACAAUACACGGAACAGAAAACAAAGCCAAUAUGACUAAAAGAGGUAGACGACCAAGGAUGAGAGGAGGGAGAGGAGAAGAGCAGAGGAGGGACACAAGAUGACCAGCAGCAUCCAACACUUUCUACAGUCUGGAGCAGCAGAGUUCCCAAAACCUGCAGCAAAGGCAUCAUAUAUAUAUAUAUAUAUAUAUAUAUAUAAAUUAAAAGAACAAUAAAUAAAAAGAAAAGCAUGCAUAUUUAAUGAAUAUAUAGGCUCUCUUGCCACUAUAUACCUGUUCUAACAAUUGAUAUCCGUCACAACAAAAAAAAAAUCAUGUCUUACCAAUGUCCUUCAGAGUAGGACCUACACUUGUAUCUGAAGAUAAAAGUGAGAAGUAAUUGUAAUGAUUAGGGUAGAAUUUGUAACUCUAGUUACAUCUCAGAUUAGCAUAUCGGCCCGUCUUGAAACCAUGUUGAAUUGAUUUAAUGAAAUAAAAAAAUAAAUGGUAUUUAUUUAUUUUUUUAAUUUAACCAGUUGUUCUACAUUCAGGUCUUUCCAAACCACCAAUAAUGCAUACAUAUUGUCUUAGUUUCCACUCAAUAAUAUUAAAUUAUUAUUAUUUUUUUUUUGUGGAGUUUCCAACACAGAAUAAAACACAUGGCUGUAGUUUUCAUCCUGCGUGUGAGAGACAGACAGAACGUGACAUUUGGACAGUGCAACUACUGAAAACACUUAAUAGAACAGGUUAUUUAUAUCAUUUCAUGUAAAAGGUGUUAAAGGUCUGGUUUCCUGAGAGACGCCAGGGUCUCUGGUACGAACCGAAACACAGACUGAUUUAGAAUAAAAGAGACAACGCAAUCAAAUGAAGUGCAGAAAGACUUCCAGCGGUUAAAAGCACAGGCAGUUCUACAUAUGUGACUGCAGAGUUAGCCUCUAUAGGCUUACCUGAAAGAUGUAUUUCUUUAUAUUGAUAGUCUAUA